UCCUACGGGAGGCAGCAGUCGGGAAUAUUGCGCAAUGGAGGAAACUCUGACGCAGUGACGCCGCGUAUAGGGAGAAGGUUUUCGGAUUGUAAACUAUUGUCAUCAGGGAAGAUAAAAGACAGUACCUGAGGAGGAAGCUCCGGCUAACUAUGUGCCAGCAGCCGCGGUAAUACGUAGGUGGCAAGCGUUGUCCGGAUUUACUGGGUGUAAAGGGCGUGCAGCCGGGAGGACAAGUCAGAUGUGAAAUCCCGCGGCUCAACCGCGGAACUGCAUUUGAAACUGUUUUUCUUGAGUACCGGAGAGGG
rnacentral:rRNA from 1 species